GACAGAGGGUGCAAACGUUGCUCGGAAUCACUGGGCGUAAAGGGCGUGUAGGCGGGAAGAUAAGUCGGGCGUGAAAUCCCCAGGCUCAACCUGGGAACUGCACUCGAAACUGUUUUUCUUGAGUGCCGGAGAGGAAAGCGGAAUUCCUGGUGUAGAGGUGAAAUUCGUAGAUAUCAGGAGGAACACCAGUGGCGAAGGCGGCUUUCUGGACGGUAACUGACGCUGAGACGCGAAAGCGUGGGGAGCAAACAGG
rnacentral:rRNA from 1 species